rnacentral:rRNA from 1 species
ACGGGUGAGUAAUAUAUCGGAACGUACCCAAGAGUGGGGGAUAACGUAGCGAAAGUUACGCUAAUACCGCAUACGAUCUACGGAUGAAAGCAGGGGACCGCAAGGCCUUGUGCUUCUGGAGCGGCCGAUAUCUGAUUAGCUAGCUGGUGAGGUAAAGGCUCACCAAGGCAACGAUCAGUAGCUGGUCUGAGAGGACGACCAGCCACACUGGAACUGAGACACGGUCCAGACUCCUACGGGAGGCAGCAGUGGGGAAUUUUGGACAAUGGGGGCAACCCUGAUCCAGCAAUGCCGCGUGAGUGAAGAAGGCCUUCGGGUUGUAAAGCUCUUUUGUCAGGGAAGAAAAGGGAGUGGCUAAUAUCCAUUCCUGCUGACGGUACCUGAAGAAUAAGCACCGGCUAACUACGUGCCAGCAGCCGCGGUAAUACGUAGGGUGCAAGCGUUAAUCGGAAUUACUGGGCGUAAAGCGUGCGCAGGCGGUUUCGUAAGUCUGUCGUGAAAUCCCCGGGCUUAACCUGGGAAUGGCGAUGGAGACUGCGAGGCUAGAGUUUGGCAGAGGGGGGUAGAAUUCCACGUGUAGCA